GAGUUUGAUCCUGGCUCAGAACAAACGCUGGCGGCGUGUCUUAAGCAUGCAAGUUGAGCGCAAGGAGGAGAGAUCCCCCUAGAGCGGCGGACUGGUGAGUAACGCGUGGGUAUCUAUCGUAGGCAUGGGGAUAGUCACUAGAAAUAGUGGGUAAUACCGAAUACGGGGAGUGAAAGGGGCUACGGCACUGGCCUAGGUGAGCUCGCGUCCCAUUAGCUAGUUGGUGAGGUAAAGGCCCACCAAGGCGAUGAUGGGUAGCCGGCCUGAGAGGGUGUACGGCCACACUGGGACUGAGAUACGGCCCAGACUCCUACGGGAGGCAGCAGCUAAGAAUAUUCCGCAAUGGACGAAAGUCUGACGGAGCGACGCCGCGUGGAUGAAGAAGGCCGAAAGGUUGUAAAGUUCUUUUGCUAGGGGAGAAAAGUGAGGGAGGGAAUGCCCUCAUGAUGACAAGGACUAGCGAAUAAGCCCCGGCCAACUACGUGCCAGCAGCCGCGGUAACACGUAGGGGGCGAGCGUUGUUCGGAAUUACUGGGCGUAAAGGGCAUGUAGGCGGUUGGUAAGCCUGGCGUGAAAGACUGCAGCUUAACUGUAGGGAUGCGUUGGGAACUGCUUAGCUUGAGUUACGGAGAGGGAGCUGGAAUUCCUGGUGUAGGGGUGAAAUCUGUAGAUAUCAGGAAGAACACCGAUGGCGAAGGCAAGCUUCUGGUCGAUAACUGACGCUGAGGUGCGAAAGUGUGGGGAUCAAACAGGAUUAGAUACCCUGGUAGUCCACACUGUAAACAUGCGCACGAGGUGCUGGGGCGGUAGUUUCAGUGCCGAGCGAACGCGGUAAGUGCACCGCCUGGGGAGUAUGCUCGCAAGGGUGAAACUCAAAGGAAUUGACGGGGGCCCGCACAAGCGGUGGAGCAUGUGGUUUAAUUCGAUGCAACGCGAAGAACCUUACCUGGGCUUGACAUCCAAGAUCCCCUGGAAACAGGGGAGUGCCCUUCGGGGAGCUUGGAGACAGGUGCUGCAUGGCUGUCGUCAGCUCGUGUCGUGAGAUGUUGGGUUAAGUCCCGCAACGAGCGCAACCCUUGCCUUUAGUUGCCAUCAUUCAUUGGGCACUCUAAAGGGACCGCCGGUGUCAAACCGGAGGAAGGUGGGGAUGACGUCAAGUCCUCAUGGCCUUUAUGCCCAGGGCUACACACGUGCUACAAUGGGCGGUACAAAGAGCAGCGAGCUCGCGAGGGUAAGCAAAUCUCAAAAAGCCGUCCUCAGUUCGGAUUGGAGUCUGCAACUCGACUCCAUGAAGUUGGAAUCGCUAGUAAUCGCAGAUCAGAUGCUGCGGUGAAUACGUUCCCGGGCCUUGUACACACCGCCCGUCACACCCUGAAAGUUGACUGCACCAGAAGUUACUGGACUAACCUAUAGGAGGUAGGUACCUACGGUGUGGUUGGUAAUUGGGGUGAAGUCGUAACAAGGUAGCCGUAGGGGAACCUGCGGCUGGAUCACCU
rnacentral:rRNA from 1 species